UAAUUUAUAAAAGCGCCAGGACUUAAACCGGAGCGGAAUUUAUUGGUUUAAGUUGACGAGGACAGGGUUUAUCGAAUUAUCGGCGGGUGCCCUGCGGUGUUACUCUCCACCGAUAAAAGCUUUACAAAACCUAUGAGCGAUUGUAGGAACAAAUAAAGCUGGGAGAGUAGU
rnacentral:ncRNA from 2 species